AUGGGUAGCACUGUUGUCAGGUUUCUAAGCACUGCAACCUUAUUUACCAUUUGCUUAUUAUUAUGCAAUGCAAAUCUGAGUGCGCCUUGCAAACAAAAUGAGAGACAAGCACUUUUGAAUUUUACGCACGAUCUUGAAGAUCCUUACAGCAAUCAGCUUUCAUCUUGGGCUGGUGAAGGAGAUUGUGGCAAUUGGACGGCAGUUGUCUGUGACAAUUUAACAGGUCAUGUCUGCGAGCUCCACCUUGUCGGACAUGUGGACAUGUUAAGUGGUAAGAUAAAUCCAUCUCUACCCAAUUUAAAGCAUCUUACCUACUUGGAUCUAAGCAACAAUGAUUUUCGAAGAAUGCAGAUUCCUAGCUUCUUAGGUUCUCUCAAAAGUUUAAGAUAUCUUAACCUCUCAGAGUCGUUGUUCACUGGAUUAAUUCCUCAUCAAUUGGGAAAUCUAAAAAGUCUACAGGUUCUUGAUCUGCACGAUUCCUAUUUGGAACUGGAGGUUGAGAGCCUUCAAUGGAUUUCUGGUCUUUCUCAAUUGCAACACUUGGACAUGAGUGGUGCAAAUCUUAGCAAAGCAUCUGAUUGGUUGCGGGUGACAAACACACUCCCGUCUUUGGUGGAGAACUUGGAUAUGUCUUUUUGUGGACUUUAUCACAUACCUGGUGGUAUUGCCAACAUGACUAAUCUUAAAUUCCUUCAUCUCCAAACAAUCUCAUUGAGUCUGUCAGGGAACAAUCUUUCUGGCCAUUUAACAGAUAAGCUUGAUCAUUUUGAAAAGUUGCGCGCCCUUGAUCUUUCUCAUAACUCAAAAUCAGGUUCCCUUCCACUGUCCUUUGGCAAUCUGUCAUGCCUAGAAGUUUUGAGAAUUGGUGUUAAUAAUUUAACAAAUGUUGUCUCUCAACUACAUUUCACUAAUCUUACAAGAUUGGUGGAAUUUCAAGCAAGUGGAAACUCAUUGACUCUUGAAACUUGGCUUCCUCCAUUCCAACUUUCUAUUUUGCUUUUAAAUUCUUGGCAUCUGGAGCCAUCGGAAUUGCCCAUGUGGCUUCAGAGUCAAACGCAGUUGCAGUUUCUUAGCAUGUCCAACACAAGAAUUUCAGGUACCAUUAUGACUUGGUUUUGGAACUUUUCUUCCCAAUUAAGGUUUAUUGAUCUCUCUGAAAAUAAAUUGUUUGGUGAGGUUCCACAUAUAUUUCCCAGUUCGCAGUAUCAGGAUAUUUUCCUAGAUUCUAACCAGUUCAAUGGUUCAUCACCUCUUGUUUCAUCAACAGUAGAGAUACUAGAUCUUUUCCAACUCAUCGUUUUCUGGAACGCUCUUUCGCUUCUUCUGUAAUAAUAAUAGUGAACCGAAGGCACUUUCAAUUCUUCAUCUGGACAACCAUCGUCUAUCUGGAAAAAUUCCUGACUGUUUCAGAAACUGGAAAAACUUGGUAGUUGUAAAUUUAGAAAGCAACAAUUUAAUUGGGAAUAUUCUAAGGUCUUUGGGCUACUUGCACUGGAGCCUCAAAUACUUGCACUUGCGCAAUAAUCACUUGCACGGGGAGUUGCCUCCAUAUCUAAAGAAAUGUACAGAAUUGACUAUUCUUGACCUUAGUUACAAUAAGUUUCUAGGAAAGAUACCAAUGUGGAUUGGAACAAGCCUUUCAAUUUUGGCGGUUCUUAGCCUUCGUUCAAAUCAGUUUCAUGGCCACAGUCCGUACAAACUUUGCGAUCUCACAUAUCUCCGUAUAUUGGACCCUGCACAUAACAAUAUCUCAGGAAGAAUGCCAAGGUGUUUGUACAAAUUUAAGGCGAUGGCUUCAAACUCUGAAAUCUCUCAUUAUUCCUUUUAUUAUGGAAAUAAUUAUUAUUAUGAUAAUUCAUUUGAAGCUAACAAUAUAGAGACUGCAAUAUUGGUGUCGGAAGGUAGAGAAGUGAAAUAUGGAAGCAUUCUUCUUAGCUUGGCAAUUAGUUUGGACCUUUCAGACAACAUUAUCUCUGGAGAAAUCCCUGAAGAACUUACCAGCCUCAUCUACUUGCAGUCGGUGAAUUUGUCUUACAAUCUUUUGAGUGGAAGAAUCCCUCCCAAGAUUGGUGAUAUGAGACGGUUAGAAUCUCUUGAUUUGUCCAUGAAUCAACUUUGUGGUCAAAUUGCUCCAAGUAUGUCAAGUUUGACAUUUCUCAGUGCCUUGAACUUGUCCUACAAUAAUUUGACAGGCGAGAUUCCGAAAAGCACUCAACUUCGGAGUUUGGAUCAAACCAGUUUUAUUGGUAAUAAACUUUGUGGCCCUCCACUUGAAGUGAACUGCAGUAAUACCAACGGGACAGUGCCACCGGUAGCAGAUCAGAAACGGAGGAAGUGAUUUGUUUGAAGACGGUUGGUUCUAUCUGAGCUUGGGACUAGGAUUUCUGUUCGGUUUUUGGAGUGUUCUUGUCUCGUUGUUGUUGAACUUUCCAUGGAGCAUUGUCUUUUCUCGGUUCCUAAAUAGCAUUGUGAAGAAGCUUUAUGGGGUAAUUGUUGAACAUUUUUAA